UGCGUGUGUGUGUGUGUGUGUGUGUGUGUUGUCGAGCGAGCGCGUGUGAAAAAAUUGCAGUUAUACUCAUGCUGUACAAGGCUACUCAUUCUUAAAACAAACCUCACAGUCAUAACCGACCAUGUCAACAAAAUCCGCAGGCCAGUCAAAGCCAGAAAACACAAUUAGAGACGCGGGUCACGACCUGGCGCGCCGUCGACUGUCAAGGCAGAGGGACUCGAGGCCUCUGAAGGCCUUGGGUGAACUCGGUGAAUGGCUGAUAGACCUGCUUUCUGUGCCAAGGCUGUUACAAGACACAACAACUUUAAAAUGUUAAGACCAAAAUAUAUUUUAAUGUACCAUUGUUAAUUAGGUAAG